AAAGCGUGCGCAGGCGGUUUUGUAAGACUGUCGUGAAAUCCCCGGGCUCAACCUGGGAAUGGCGAUGGUGACUGCAAGGCUAGAGUUUGGCAGAGGGGGGUAGAAUUCUACGUGUAGCAGUGAAAUGCGUAGAUAUGUGGAGGAACACCGAUGGCGAAGGCAGCCCCCUGGGUCAAAACUGACGCUCAUGCACGAAAGCGUGGGGAGCAAACAGGAUUAGAUACCCCGGU
rnacentral:rRNA from 1 species